AACAUAACCUUUAGCCAAACAAAUAUUAAAGGCAACGCCUGCCCGGUGAACUAUUAAACGGCCGCGGUACCCUAACCGUGCAAAGGUAGCGUAAUCAUUUGUCUAUUAAUUGUAGACCUGUAUGAAAGGCAAAAUGAAAGCCUGACUGUCUCUUAUAGUCAAUCAAUUAAACUGAUCUCCUAGUACAAAAGCUAGAAUACCAACAUAAGACCAGAAGACCCUGUGAAGCUUCAACUAACCCAUUAAACCCUAUAAUGAUUACUUUUGGUUGGGGCGACCUUGGAAAAAAAGAAAACUUCCAAAUAACACGACCUCACUCGCACCCUUGGCCCACAGGCCCCAUAGACCCAGUAUACCUGAUAAAUGAACCAAGUUACUCCAGGGAUAACAGCGCUAUCUUCUUCAAGAGCCCAUAUCAAAAAGAAGGUUUACGACCUCGAUGUUGGAUCAGGACAUCCUGGCGGUGUAGCCGCUGCCAAGGGUUCGUUUGUUCAACGACUAAUAGUCCUACGUGAUC
rnacentral:rRNA from 1 species